AGUCAUUCUCUUGUUACAAUUCAAGUAAAAUUUAGCAAAAAUUGGUAUACUUAGUUUAUUAAAACAUUAUACAUUUUCAAAAUUUAUUAUAGAUAUGUUAAUCUGAUAUAUUAAUUAUUUUAAUAUUUCAGAAUAAUAUCACGAUACUUUUUUGGUCAUUUGAUAUUUAAUUGUGUGUAUAUAUAUUUCAUCUAAAAAUAUAUUCAGAAAUUUAUAAUUACUUUGAGCAAAUCUACUACAACUAAUAUUAGAAAAUUUUAACCUUUUUUUUACAAGGACAUUUUAGGUACAUCAACGUCAUUUUAGAAGAUGUAUGGCUCAAAAAGUGGCCAGAGUGUAUAUGUGAUACUCAAAACUAAAAGUAGUGGAGGUUUAUUGAGUUUUUAAAUGCGAGGGGCUGUCUCUAAUAUACUCAUAAAGUUCAGGGGGUGUCUCAUUCUCAUAUUAUCCUUCUUUUUAAAAUCUCUGCAAUGAUGGUAUAAAGGGUAAAGUUUUCAGAUGUUUCUUUUGUCAAAUGAAACACGGUCUAUUGCUAGCAUUAUGCAAAACACCUUGCAAUCUGCUAUGACUUUUGUUCUCUCUUAAUUGGAAGCAUUUUGAAGGCUAGAUCCAAUGAUGAAAAAUCGGCUGACAAAUUCUCACAGGUAAUUUUUCAAAAUAUUAACUACUCUUGCUUAUUGCUGCCAGAAGGCUUUCUUUCAUCUCGUUCUUACCAUCUAUUGAUUCUAGAGUUAUCCAGAUUUUUUGACGUGUAAUGAUAACUUUUGGUGAAUGUACCCUCCUUUAUUAUUAUAUGUAUUCUUAUCAUACUGAAUCCACGUUUUAAACAGUUUAAACUGGAUAUUAUAUGUUCUAAUUGAAAUUGAUACAAUUAUCUUCUUUUCAAUUCCAUGUUGAUCUUUGAAAUUAACAUCAAUUUGAAUUCCAUUAUUUUUUUUGAUAGGUAAUCAGAAUUUUAUUAAUUAAAAGAGAUUACACAGGAUGUGUACAAUCACUUUAAGCAAGAAAGGAAUGACGUGAAAUUAGGCAACCCUUCUACAGGAUUUUUAGCUACGACAUUAAACUAACUAUACAAAGUCAAAUAAAACAUUUUCCUAAUAUGCGUUGUUGUCUUUGUUUGGUCUUCGAAACAGCGGUUGUUCCUUUCUUUCCAAACACACCAUGCAAUGCAUCCCGGGAUAAGGUUCCAUGCAAGUUUGCUAUUCUUAUCACGAAAUUUUUUCCUCCAUGCCUGCAAUACAUUCUCUAUACGCCUUGACAGCACCCAAAUCAUAGAUUGAGAAACUAGGAUAUUGUUCCAAAGUUAACGAACACCAUCACAAUGAAUGAACAAGUGGUCUACCGUCUCCCCAUCCCUUUUGCACAUAUGGCACCACUUGACUACAUAAAAGCCUUUUCGUCGAAGAUUAUCCACCGUUGAUACCUGCCUCCCACAACUGCCCACAAUAAGCAUGCCACCCUUGGAGGCAAUUUGCUUUUCUACACCAGUUUCCAGGGGAAUGAACUCUCCGUAGGUCCCGAAGGGAUCUAAAAUAAGUUCGAACAGAAAAAAUACCAUCUCGUGCCAACUUUCACCUGCUACAAUCGUUCUCUCCAACUCGAAUUUGUACCUUCUGUAGAGAUGUCAAAAACAACGAAUAAUCAUCCAACUCCCAAUCCCGUAGGCCCUCUCAAAAGUAAUAUUCCAGCUGUAAUCCCAUUAUGAAUGGCUAAUACAUCACUCACUAUAGCAGAAGAUACUAAAAAAAUGUAGUGCAAAGAAGGAAAUCCUAACUUCAGCGAUUGAUCACCACACUAACAAUCAUCCCAAAAUUUGAUAUCAUUACCAUUCCCCACCACAAAAUUCAGUUUGUACUGAAAAUCACUCUAUCCCUGUCAGAUAUACCUCUACAAACUCACCCCAUAGAAACCACGACCCUCAACCGCACACUAACCCCCCUCCGUCACGCCAUACUUCUUCUCUAUGAUUUCUCUCCAAAAGUUCUCUAUCUCUCUCUACUCCAAAUCGCCACAACCACAUAUCCAAUAAGACUUUAUUAAACAAAACAAGGCUUCUAACUCUAAGGCCCCCCAUCCUCAUAGGCGAACAAACAAUACCCCAAUUAACCAAAUGAAGUUUUCUCUCCUCUCCUAUCCCUUCCCAGAGAAAUUCCCUUUGAAGUCUCUCUAAUCUAUUUGCCACUGCAGCCGAAACAGGGAAUAACGACAAAAAGUAAGUAGGGAGAUUAGAGAGAGUAAAUUUAAUGAGUGUAAGUCGGCCUCCCUUAGAGAGGUACAUACGCUUCCACCAUGCUAACCUCCUCUCCACCCUUUCCACAAUACAAUUUCAAAUAUGUGUACUUUUAAACUGCGCUCCUAACGAGAGCCCUAGAUAUAACAUAGGCAACUGCGCAACCCUACAACCCAAAAUGUCAGCCAACACCUCUACGUUAGCUACCUCUCCUACUGGAAUAGCUUCAGAUUUCCUCAGAUUGAUUUUCAAUCCGAACACCGCUUCAAAGCAUAAGAGCAAAUGACGCAAGUUCCUGAUUUGUUCAUCAUCUACCUCGCAUAAAAUCAACGUAUCGUCUGCAAAUAGCAAAUGGGACACCUGCAAGUGACCAACCAUAAAGCCCUUUAUCAAACCCUCUCUCGCAGCUCUUUUAAGCAUUCUACUUAAAGUCUCCAUCACAAUAACAAAUAGCAAUGGACACAAUAGGUCCCUUUGCUUCAAUUCUCUACUACUCCGAAAAUAACCCUCAGGUGUUCCAUUGACCAAAACUGAGAACGAAACAGUAGAGACACAAAACUCGAUCCACUUACAACAUUUAUCUCUAAAGCCACAUCGCCUAAGCAUAUACAAAAGGAACCCCAUGUUCACAUGAUCAUAAGCCUUCUGAAUAUUGAGCUUACAUAGCAUUCUCGGAACCCCCAAACGCAAUCUUGAGCCAAUGCAUCCAUUCGCUAUAAACACUGAGUCCAAAAUUUGGCGCCCUUUUACAAAAGCAUUCUGAAACUCGGACACUAAUUUCCCUAGCAUCUCCUUUAGUCUAUUCGCCAGGACUUUCUCAAUAAUCUUAUACAUCUCACUGACUAGGCUAAUAGGGUGAAAGUCCUUAAUAUCAGUUGCUCUAGAUUUCUUAGGGAUCAGCACAAUAAAUGUAGUGUUUGAACUUUUCAGGAACUUGCCACAUCCAAAAAAAUAGGUAAGAACAGCCAUAAUGUUGGAUCGCAACACCUCCCAACAUGCCUUGUAGAAUGAAAAAUAAAAAUCGUCCGGUCCAAGGGCCUUAUCAUCAUUCAUGCUAAACACUACCUCCUUGAUUUCAUCCUCCCCAAAUGGUCUCUCUAACCAACCGGCAUCCUCCUCUGUGAUAAUAGAAAAAUCCAAUUCCUCCAACUUCGGCCUCCAUUCAAACUGCUCUCGAUAGAGAUUCUGCUAGAAAUUCAUCAGCUGACUUCCAGUUUCUUGUGGUUCCUCAUAAGUAACCCCAUCCACAUCUAACACUGUGAUAGAAUUGUUGCGCUUAUUAGAAUUAGCAACCUUGUGAAAAAACUUAGUGUAUUUAUCCUCCUCUUUCAACCAAGUGACCCUAGAUUUCUGGUACCAAACAAUCUCUACCAACCUCUCUAGUUUUUCCCUUAGCACUCUAUGUCUCACCUUUUCCUCCCCAGCCAACCCUUGAUUCUCCUUCCGCCUAUCCAAUUCUUCUAUAUUUGAAAGACACUGAAUUUUACGACAGUUCACAUUGCCCACAAUCUCCUCAUUCCAUCUCUUUAAAUCUUCUUUCAAAGCCUUCAACUUCUGAUCCAACACAAAACUAGGAGAUUCCCCGACUUCAUAAGAUGCCCACCAAGCCGGUACUCGUUUCCCAAAACCUUCUACUUUCAACCACAUCUUCUCAAACCUUAAAGGCCUUCUUCCACUACCCCUACUAUUCCCAGAAAGCAUAAUAGGGAAAUGAUCAGAGUACACUAUCUCCAAUCUCCUUUGAGUGACAUCUGAAUACUUGGCCUCCCACUCUUCACAAAUUAAGAACCUGUUUAUGCGAGAAAGAAUAGGUUAGUCCUGAUUAGAUGACCAGGUAAACUCUCCUCCAAUCAUGGGUAAAUCUACCAACAUAUUUUCCCUAAUAAAAUCUGAAAAAUCCUCCAUAGCCCUGGUUAGUCUCCCACCACUCGACCAUUCAGUAGGAAAUCGAACCACAUUAAAAUCACCCCAAUACACGUUGGGAGAUUCCGCCACGCCAUCAUUCCAGCCAGCUCAUCCCACAAGCCCCCUAUCCAAUUCUUCUAUAUCUGAAAGACAUUGAAUUUUACGACAGUUCACAUUGCCGACAAUCUCCUCACUCCAUCUCUUUAAAUCUUCUUUCAAAGCCUUCGACUUCUGAUCCAACACAAAACUGGGAGAUCCCCCGACUUCAUAAGAUGCCCACUAAACCCGUACUCGUUCUCAAAAACCUUCUACUUUCAACCACAUAUUCUCAAACCUAAAAGGCAUUCUUCCACUACCCUUACUAUUCCCAGAAAGCAUAAUAGGGAAGUGAUCAGAGUACACCCUCCCCAAUCUCCUUUGAAUGACGUCUGAAUACUUGGCCUCCCACUCUCCACAAAUUAAGAAUCUGUCUAUAUGAGAAAGAACAUUUGGUUCCGAUUAGAUGACCAAGUAAACUCUCCUCCAAUCAUGGGCAAAUCUACCAACAUAUUUUCCCUAAUAAAAUCUGAAAAAUCCUCCAUAGCCCUGGUUAGUCUCCCACCACUCGACCUUUCAAUAGGAAAUCGAACCACAUUAAAAUCAUCCCUAAUACACGUUGGGAGAUUCCACCACCAUCAUUCCAGCCAUCUCAUCCCAUAAGCCCCCUAUACAGUCAUCAGAAUUAGGCCCAUAAACUUCUAUGAACAUCCAGUGAAAACCAUCCCCAAUAUUUCUAAACGAUAUCGAUAUAGAAAAUGACCCUACACACACCUCCUCCAUCUCAAGCACUCUAGAGUCCCACAUGACUAGGACGCCUCCUAAUGUCCCCGAUGACCACAAGAACUGGUACCUACAUGCUGUCCCCCCUAUAAGUUACUGACCACGGCCCUCGAGUUGAACUUCAACUUAGUUUCUUGUAGGCAGACGAGGUCCGCUCCCCAUCCCCUUAUAAGAUUUCAAACACCUAGCUUUUUUUCAACUUCAUUAAGUCCCCUUACAUUCCAGCUAAUGAGUUUUGGUAUCAUUUUAACAUUCCAUCAUCUCUUCCCAGUAUUCCUUUCUUUGACUCGCCACCUUUACCGUCAUAGUUUACUGAUCAUUCAAGCUGCUUAAGUUCACGAUCUCCUUUUCUUUUUAAUUGACCUCCUUGUGUACUCAUGCCCUGUCUCCUAUUAGCCUCUAGUUCCUCGAAUAAUUGUAAAAGUCUAUUUUCAUAUUCAUCACAGGACACGCCAACCAACUUACUAAAAUCUUGAAUUUUUUGCAGAACCCAAUUUGAAGGUGGCUGUCUAGUGUCAAACGCAUUCACUUUCGCUAUUUCCUCUCCGUGACAAAACUCCAAAUGAUCAAAGGACCGUUCAUCCUCUUCCUCUACCUGUACGACAUCUCUAUCUAUGUUUCCCUUCUUGGCAUCAUCUACCCACAACACCAAAGCUUUUUGAGUCCCCAUAUCACUUUCUUCUAGGGACUUAGAGUACCUUCUAUUAUAUGUGUUCAUAACCCUAGUCGUACAUGUCACAUCGUGUUUUUCCACAACUACCGAACCUAAACCCUCUGCUAAUACAUGUCUCGUCCCUUGUUCAACUGACAGUAAUCUAUCAGCCAGCGGAAUCAUGUCCAUCGCACCAUUUUCACCAUCUCCAAAUUCUCCUUACUCGCCUCCGCUUCUUUAGACAAAGGUCCCACCUCCCAGUCUACUUCGAUCCCUGAGUGGAUAUCAUCUCUCUCCAAUCCCACCAAGUCGACCUCCUCAUCAUUUUUGGAAUACUUCGCUUCCAAUCCCUCAUGAAUCUCAGAUGGGCCUGAUCAUUUCGUGCUUUUUCUUAGUAUAGUCUGCAUUCGAUGAUGACUCCUUACGCGUCAAGUUCACUAGUUUUCCAGCAGCUGGAUACUCAUCCACGUCCACUCCACAUUUGCGACAACAUAACAUCCUGGAGCCUGUUUCAAACUCACUUCCCACUAGUCUAAUUAAUUCAUCCAAUGCCCCUUUCAAUUCCUGGAUGCGGGCCAUUAUUUCAGCUUGAUUCAAACAAUUGUUAUGUGAGCCUUCAGCAUUUGCAUCCGUAAUCUUGGGCACCCACUGAUUAGCUUAAUUUGUUGUAAUUUCUGCAUAAGUCAACCUCUGUCUAUUUCAUUCAUCCACCAUUAUUUUAUACUGAAGAAUCCUUUUAAGUUCAUUUCUUUGUGUCCCGUGUAAUAUGUUUGGACAAUGAACUUUAUUCCACUUAAAGCUGAAGUGCUAAGCAUCUGAAAAUAGGUUCAAAUAGACCUAUAUUUUAGUUUUUUAUGCGAUGUUGGUUGCUGUGCCUGUGCUAAUUAAGUGGACGCCUCUUGAUGCAUCAAAAUUUUAAUUGGCGACAUUGAAUAAUAAGUAGUUCAUGCACAAAAGUGUAGUAAAGCAUCUAUUUCAAAAUGAGAGGCAUGGCCACCUGGAUCAUAUAGUUUAUUGUGCGGUCUCUAACUCAUAUGGGAUACUUGCACUGUCUCUCUUGUUAUACCCUCACUUGUGUACAGAGGUACAUCAUCAAAAUUUUAAUUGGCGACAUUGAAUAAUAAGUAGUUCAUGCACAAAAGUGUAGUAAAGCAUCUAUUUCAAAAUGAGAGGCAUGGCCACCUGGAUCAUAUAGUUUAUUGUGCGGUCUCUAACUCAUAUGGGAUACUUGCACUGUCUCUCUUGUUAUACCCUCACUUGUGUACAGAGGUAGAUGGAUGUAUGGGGUGAAAUUGAAAAUGAUGCUAGUAGAUGAUGAAGAAUAAUUAAUUGAAAAAUUACAAAUGAGAUAUGCCCUACGACUCCCUAAACCCCGGCUUUGGUUACAUGUUACAGCAUUGAUAGUUGAGUCAUUACUGUCUAAGAGCAUAUACUAGUCUAAAUCUUGUAUUUCUUUAAUAUUAGGAGAAGCUCUAAAUGUCUUUUGUCAUGGCUUGUUAAGGCAUGAAAAUGAAAAUUAGCCAUGUGCUAAUAAAGCAACUUAAGAAUCUUUUAUCGUUACAGGCGCUCUCCAUAAGAACCUUUGCCAAGAAUCUUAAGAGUUGUACUUAGAUCAGGUCACCUAAACAUGGGGAAUUUGGUAUAUCACGUUUCUGGGAUUUCCUCAACUAUAAUGAGUAUUAUGCAGUUGUAGUUGGCAAAAAAAUGGGCCACCGUAUUUUUCCUUCAUGAAGCUCCAGGUAUUAUAAUCACCCUGUGACUGCUGCUAACAGAGAUAAUGCUGUUAUGGUUUCGAGUCUUUCCAGAGACUCCGAAAUGCUUUAUCGUACUCUUAUUACCAUUUAGAAAACCCGGGCCUUGGUGAUACCUACAUUUCUUUUAUACUUGCAGUCAUGUACAUUAUAUAUGUAUAUACUGUAAUGGAAAUGUUCAUGAAGGCGUAAAGUCAUGAUUAUUUCUUUUGAAAUUCAUCAAGAGAAUAUUAUCACGCAUUUGUAUGUAGCCGAAUGAAAAAUAUGUAUAGAUUCUAUACACAUUCUCUAGGAAAUAGUAGCCAAUAUUUGUGGGAGAUUUUUCCCAAGUAGUAAUUUAUAAGAUUCGAUGCAUUUUGAUGUAUUCUACUAUACUGUGAAAUAUGGAAUUUAAAUCCUCUUUUUUUCGAUGACUUCUUAAGAAGCCCGUAAAACUUUCUGUCGAUUGAACUCAUUAGAGAAGUUGAAUAAUAUUUUCCUUUUUGAGUUUUGCUACUUGUAAAUCGAGGUU
rnacentral:lncRNA from 1 species